CAGUAGCCACGGUAAUACGUAGGUGGCAAGCGUUGUCCGGAAUUAUUGGGCGUAAAGGGCUCGCAGGCGGUUUCUUAAGUCUGAUGUGAAAGCCCCCGGCUCAACCGGGGAGGGUCAUUGGAAACUGGGAAACUUGAGUGCAGAAGAGGAGAGUGGAAUUCCACGUGUAGCGGUGAAAUGCGUAGAGAUGUGGAGGAACACCAGUGGCGAAGGCGACUCUCUGGUCUGUAACUGACGCUGAGGAGCGAAAGCGUGGGGAGCGAACAGGAUUAGAUACCGUGUAGUCCCUGUCUCUUAUACA
rnacentral:rRNA from 1 species